CCCUUAAGGACCAAACUUCUGGAAUAAAAGGGAAUCAUGACAUGUCACACAUGUCAUGUGUCCUCAAGGGUUUAAGCUUAUUUUAUACACUCUGCUGGACCAUACACUAUUUCAACUUCCUUACAGACCUUUGUAGGGAUUAAGACCUGUUUAAGAGCCAUUAUAAGCUAUUUGUAACAUGUAGUACUAGUAUUUUUUUAUCUAUAAUGUACAUUUUAGAUGUUCCACAGGUUUUCUGAAUGUGUAAUGGGAAAUGUAACAUUUAAUUACAUGCCAUUCAUAUAAAUAGAUAAAUGUGAUCUUGGCUCAGUGCUGUGGUAUAUAUUGACUCCUGGCGGUCACAAACGUGUUACUUUUAGAGUUGUCAAAAGGUAAUGCUUUCAUUCUGAAGGCAUUGUGGGAAUUGUACUUAGAGCAGAGAAUCAAUCUUUUUGCCACUCCAUGAGUUUGAGUUUUCAAGGCGACAACUAGUUAUCAAAAUGACUCAAGACAAGAUGGACAACUCUGGGCCUUGUAUGUUCUUCCUUUAUGAAGAUGGUUUGAACCUGCACCGCUGUAUAAAUUAAGGACUUCAGCUACCUUUUGAUUUAGAAUCCCAGGUGGUUGUUGUAAAAGAUAUGGUGUCUUGUAGCUGGUACAGGAAUUUGAAAGCUAUAAUAAGAUAUAUUUUUUAAUUUUUCGUAAAACUAUCAUGGAGUUAAUAUUGUCCGUGCCGAUCUUCAAAAGGUUAUCAGCAUGUUCUCACGUUCGAUUUAAGAUCUCUAGAAAGCAUGUACGUAAAACAUGAGUAACCGUUUAUCUUUAGUUCUUAUUUUACCUUGAAAGCAGUGGUGUCUACAUUUCUUUUUAUUUUUUUUUGUUCCAUCUAAGUCUUAAGUUUUUAUAUAACUGCACAGGAUUCAUUAAUGUCUGCAUUCACUACUGUGUACUAAAGUUUGUAUUUUGUUGGCAUUUGAGCAUCAAUUGUUCCAUUCUAAUCGCAAUAUGUGUGGCAUGUAAAAUAAAUUUACAUAUAAGAAAAGUAAA